GACGUAGGGCGCGAGCGUUGUCCGGAUUUAUUGGGCGUAAAGAGCUCGUAGGCGGCUUGUCGCGUCGACUGUGAAAACCCGUGGCUCAACCAUGUGGUCUGCAGUCGAUACGGGCAGGCUAGAAUUCGGUAGGGGAGACGUGGAAUUCCUGGUGUAGCGGUGAAAUGCGCAGAGUAUCAGGAGGAACACCGGUGGCGAAGGCGGGUCUCUGGGCCGAUAUUGACGCUGGAGGAGCGAAAGCGUGGGGAGCGAACAGG
rnacentral:rRNA from 1 species